GCUGGGAUCGUUCGGUCGGUAAAGCAUGAGAUUCUUAAUCCCAGGGUUGUGGGUUUGAUCCCCCACAUUGGGCA